CGAGUCGGUCGGACGGCCGCGGUUGCGCAAGCAGUCGAGGAAAGUCCGGACUCCACAGGGCAGGACGGUGGGUAACACCCACCCGGGGUGACCCGCGGGAAAGUGCAACAGAAAGCAGACCGCCGGCUUUCGGGUCGGUAAGGGUGAAACGGUGGUGUAAGAGACCACCAGCGUCGGUGGCGACAUCGGCGGCUAGGUAAACCCCGUCCGGAGCAAGGCCAAGAGGGUGCGUUCGCGCACCUGUGCGGACGAGCUGCCCGCUCGAUGUCCGCAGGUGGGCCGCAACGAGGUCAUCGGUAACGGUGGCCCCAGACAGAUGGUCGUCGUCCCGGUUCGCUGGGGCACAGAAUCCGGCUUACAGACCGACUCGCCAC
rnacentral:RNase_P_RNA from 1 species